CUUGACCUCCUAACAACCUUAUAGCAGGGUCCAAGUAUCAUUAUUCCUAUUUUAAUGAUCAGGAAACUGAGGGUCAGAGAGAUGAAGAGGAUGGGCCAUGUUCACACAGCUUGUAAGUGGCAAAACCAAGAUUCCAACCCUUCUGAGUCCAGAAGGAAGGGAAGCCAGAGGAAGUGCCUGUUCCUAGCACCGACUUCUCUGCAGCUAGUGGACAAAAAGCCCUUAUUCCCCCCUCCCCCCGCCCCAUCCCCACAGAUGUCCAAAAAUAAAUAAAUAAAUAAAGACAGG
rnacentral:lncRNA from 1 species